UUUCUUUCUGAAUUUCUUUCUGCGUCUUAUUUUCUUUCUGAAUUGUACCAUUUGUCUAAUCACUCUUUUCACUGACUCAUUAUCAGAAAUGAUAUGAAGGUUGUUGAAUUAGGGUGUUGAUUUCAGAAGUAAUGUUAUAGAAAAUGGGAAUUGUUCCCUUUCUUAAAAGCAAUAGUUGACAAUUUUAUUUUAUUUUUUUCUGAUACAGUGUUGAAGUUCCUGGGAGAGGGCAACUUUAAUUUAUAAAGAGUCGUUAACAUUCACUUCCUCUAACAAAAGCCUUUGAAGUUUCCUGAGUUUCUGGGAAGGCCUGGUUUCCCCAAAGGAAUGAUUUCUGGUAGAAGUCUGAAGGUCUGACCCAAGAAAAAAACUCCAGUAUAGCCAAUGAAUUGAGGACAAGAAGGUUUCCAAUCAGUGUGAUCCCAGAAGUCUCACCAAGAGAUGGUGUUGAUUCUUCUCAGUGCAAGAGUUGCUCCACCUCUCAGAGAGGAGGAACAUCAGAAGUGCCAGCCACCCUACAUAAGCUCCAAGUCUCAUCCUUUCAAAGUUCCUUUCCUGUAGUGCAACUUCUGCACAUUCAGAUGAUCUCUGGUCCAUUUUAUCAGGGAUCAUGAUUGACUGAUGGCUCCAGUUACUAUUACCAGCACAGGACAGAGCCUGGUGUGGCCAAGAAAGCGGGCCAUUCCUGUGAAUACAAGACUGCCCCAACAGGCAUACUGUUGCUGCGUUUAACCUCACUGAAGCCAGACUAAUCUAGAGAUGUUCUUAGCUUCCUGUGACUCAUAUGAAGGUUAUCAUUUUAGAAGAGACCUUGAAAACAUACUCUGGAUUUAGGGGGGAAAAAAAACUCUGACAUUUCCAAGAGGAAAAGCUUUUUUUAAGUUUUAUAUUGUAGAUGCAGAGCUUAAAGCAUUUAAACACAUACAGCAAGCAAUAUAAUAUGAAUCAUGUAACAAAAGUUAAAUUUAAGUGAAAACCUUGUGUGGUAUGUUGCAGUCACAAAAGAAGAUACAAAAUUAAUGUGGACACCUGCUUGUUUUACUUGUAUCAGGAGAAAAUAAAAUUAAUUGUCAUUUAAUGAAUUGCUUUCUGUUGUAGCACACUUAAUUAUCUCUUCCUGUAACCCCAAGAAGUAUCUUUUCAAACUCACAGCUGUAUCUGAAUAGGGGCUACCAACUAAAGAGAAAACACUUCACUCUGCUUCUUUUGUGGAUUAACAUUUAAAACAAAAGAUGAACAAAGUAGGAAGUAGGCUCGUUUAUACGCGAUCCGUCCCAGUGUAUUGACUGUUUCCUUGCCACAGGUGAUCACAGGCUUAGGCAAACCCAGACCGUAUUUAGCUGUUGGCCUUCUGUUUCCCUUAACACAGGAGAUGAAUGCUAACCCCUUUUCCAGCUAGCUGCAUGUGGAACAGUUCUGGCUUCAGUCCCCUGCCACCUGCCAGCUCUGGGAUCUCAGGGUGCUCCUGGGAGAAUCAUAGGAAUGCGGAUGAACCCCUGAAAGAGACCUGAUGGUGCAGAGAAGGCAUCCGACAGAGGAUCAUGAAGCAGAGAGCAAAGAAGUGGGGUUGAAAAGAGGGAGGUAUACGCGGAGAUUGUUUUUCAUCUCAAAAUGUGCCAUUGUAUUCUACAUUCUCCUUGAAACAUUUCAAGGGCUCCAUUUGCAUAUAUUAGAUGCUUACUUCUUUUCACAUCAUGUUCUCCAUUCCUACCGAAUUACGUGUCAAUCUAUGAACUGUUUCUCCUUUGUACUUCUGUCACUUUAGUACAUUAACAAUUGCAAGUAGAGGUUUUCCACAGUGUGUUUUCCUCUUGGUACAACUUCUUUUGAAUCUAUCCUGUGUAUACAGAAAGAUCUCAAGCGUGUGGGCCAGUCAGAAUGAAGCCAAGCCCGCACUGGUGGAAGUCUACAUUCUAGAAGGGCUCCAAAGACACAAGGACACACAGUUGCAGUGAUUACAGUACUCAAACCUACCUAGAUUAGUUGCAAAGAUACUUCUUUAGCACUAUUUUCACAUUAAUUCUAUUAUUGUUUAAAUAUAAUUGCGUUUCUCUAGUUGAUGUAAGUAAAUCCUUUGCUUAAAAUAUUUCAUUUUGUUUCAACUGUUAAUUUGUUUUCUGAAAUGAGUGUAAUAAAUACAAAUUUUUAUUUGUCCUAACAAUUAAAAUGCAUGGAUUAACCCCCAGCUUGUACAAAUGCAGAAUCAUUACUAUCCCUAACAAUGUAAAACUCUGACAAAUUAGAUAUCACUAUUUCUUAAGGAAAAUUGAUCAUAAGAUAAUUUUUGGACCUAAAAAUCUGCAUUUGUCUCAAGCACAUUUAACAUGCAUUCAUGGGAGAAGGAUCAUCUUUUUUCUGUUUCAUAUACAACUCUGUUAAGUGGAUAUCUUAUGUUUUCUUACAUUUCCUGCAUAUAAUUUAAAGGAAAAAAAAGCCAUCCAAAAAGAGAAUAGAGGGAAUGAAUGUCUCAAUCCUUUUUUAAUUGUAUCACUGAUUCUUGGGGGGGUAUAGUGUGAUAGCUUCUGUAUUUUCUUUACUCCCUCCCUCCCCAAUUUUACUGAGUUGUGGUUGACUAUAACAUCGUAUAAGUUUAAAGAGUACAACAUAAUGAUUUGAUACAUGCAUAUAAUGUGAAAUGAUUACCACAAUAAAUUUAGUUAACAUCUGUCACCUCA